UUAGCCCCAUCGCAACAGGGCAAGAGCAGGAGGCCAGUCAUGUUUUUCGACAAUGUGGUGAUCGCCGGAGUGCUGACUGUCGGCCUCAUGGUUCUGUUUUUCGCAGGGUUUGGAUUCUUUAUCUGGAAAGACGCGAAUAAGCGCAAGAAGCCUUAAGUCUUUCCAGGGCAACGAGCACGCAAGGCAUUUUGGGCAACUUCGGUUGCCCUUUUUUUUG
rnacentral:sRNA from 2 species